UACGGAGGGGGCUAGCGUUGUUCGGAAUUACUGGGCGUAAAGGGCUCGUAGGCGGCCAAUUAAGUCCGACGUGAAAUCCCCAGGCUUAACCUGGGAACUGCGUCGGAUACUGGAUGGCUUGAAUUCGGGAGAGGGAUGCAGAAUUCCAGGUGUAGCGGUGAAAUGCGUAGAUAUCAGGAGGAACACCGGUGGCGAAGGCGGGUCUCUGGGCCGAUACUGACGCUGAGGAGCGAAAGCGUGGGGAGCGAACAGG
rnacentral:rRNA from 1 species